AUUCUCCCUGAUGCUGAUAGUUUGGAAACCCAUUUACACCCUACCACUAGAUCUACACUUCGUUCCCAUGCUGCUGCUCAUUCUGAUAUUCCCCACGGUGAUCCAUCAACUUAACAGAAGUUCCCAAGCUUCCUCAAAGAAAUAGCUACCUAUUGACAAACCCCGCCUCUGGACCUUUUUGUACCAAUAUGGAUAACUCAAGACU